GAGUUUGAUCCUGGCUCAGAUUGAACGCUGGCGGCAUGCCUUACACAUGCAAGUCGAACGGCAGCACGGGAGCUUGCUCCUGGUGGCGAGUGGCGAACGGGUGAGUAAUGCAUCGGAACGUAUCCUGGAGUGGGGGAUAACGUAGCGAAAGUUACGCUAAUACCGCAUAUUCUGUGAGCAGGAAAGCGGGGGACCUUCGGGCCUCGCGCUCUUGGAGCGGCCGAUGUCGGAUUAGCUAGUUGGUGAGGUAAAGGCUCACCAAGGCGACGAUCCGUAGCAGGUCUGAGAGGAUGAUCUGCCACACUGGAACUGAGACACGGUCCAGACUCCUACGGGAGGCAGCGAGUGGGAAUUUUGGACAAGUGGGGGCAACCCUGAUCCAGCCAUGCCGCGUGAGUGAAGAAGGCC
rnacentral:rRNA from 1 species